rnacentral:rRNA from 1 species
AGGAAACAAAAAGGCAUCUUUUUGUUUUUAAAAGACCUUCUUACGAAGGUAUGCUUAAAGAGGGGCUUGCGCCACAUUAGUUAGUUGGUAGAGUAAAAGCCUACCAAGACGAUGAUGUGUAGCUGGACUGAGAGGUUGAACAGCCACAUUGGGACUGAGACACGGCCCAAACUCCUACGGGAGGCAGCAGUAGGGAAUUUUCGGCAAUGGAGGAAACUCUGACCGAGCAACGCCGCGUGAACGAUGAAGUAUUUCGGUAUGUAAAGUUCUUUUAUUGAAAAAGAAAAAGUAGUGGAAAAACUAUAUUGACGUUAUUCAAUGAAUAAGCCCCGGCUAACUAUGUGCCAGCAGCCGCGGUAAGACAUAGGGGGCGAGCGUUAUCCGGAAUUAUUGGGCGUAAAGGGUGCGUAGGCUGUUAGAUAAGUCUAUAAUUUAAUUUCAGUGCUUAACGCUGUCUUGUUAUAGAAACUGUCUUGACUAGAGUGAGAUAGAGGCAAGCGGAAUUCCAUGUGUAGCGGUAAAAUGUGUAAAUAUAUGGAGGAACACCAGAAGCGUAGGCGGCUUGCUGGGUCUUUACUGACGCUGAGGCACGAAAGCGUGGGUAGCAAACAGGAUUAGAUACCCUGGUAGUCCACGCCGUAAACGAUGAGUACUAAGUGUCGGGGUAAAACUCGGUACUGAAGUUAACACAUUAAGUACUCCGCCUGAGUAGUACGUACGCAAGUAUGAAACUUAAAGGAAUUGACGGGACUCCGCACAAGCGGUGGAUCAUGUUGUUUAAUUCGAAGAUACACGAAAAAUCUUACCAGGUCUUGACAUACUCUGCAAAGCUAUAGAAAUAUAGUGGAGGUUAUCAGGGAUACAGGUGGUGCAUGGUUGUCGUCAGUUCGUGUCGUGAGAUGUUAGGUUAAGUCCUAAAACGAACGCAACCCUUGUCGUUAAUUGCCAGCACAUAAUGGUGGGGACUUUAACGAGACUGCCAAUUAAACAUUGGAGGAAGGUGAGGAUUACGUCAAAUCAUCAUGCCCCUUAUGAUCUGGGCUACAAACGUGAUACAAUGGCUGUGACAAAGAGUAGCUGAAACGCGAGUUUUUAGCCAAUCUCAAAAAAGCAGUCUCAGUUCGGAUUGAAGUCUGUAACUCGACUUCAUGAAGUUGGAAUCGCUAGUAAUCGCGAAUCAGCAUGUCGCGGUGAAUACGUUCUCGGGGUUUGUACACACCGCCCGU